UGUCCUUUUCAUUUGAGGCCAUUUUCAUAAAACAUUUUUGCAUUACAGAGCUCUUUGUGGGCUAGCGUUUUCAAUUUACAACAUGAUGGAUUCAUUUGGACUGAAAGAAACCUUAUCCUGAAAUCCACUCAGCCCUUUAGAAAACAAGGUCACACUUUAUUAAGUACGAUUUUGCCAGCAGAUUGAAAUGGUAUUUUAUUGAAAUAACAUAGAAAUAAAAUAUUCAGAAGGUCACAGACCUAGUUAUACAGCACCACUUUAAGCUAUUAUAUAGGAAUAUUGAGUUUCAUUGUGUCUCAUUGUGCUUUUAUUUCUUUGCUAUUUAGAGAACUGAAGUGCUUUUCUGAUAGUCUUUGGCAGCAGAACCGAUGACUCACUUUAAAUUUCAUAAAAAUGGUAUGGCUAAGAUCCUGAUAGAUGUUCUGGAAGAGGUGUAUGAGCAUCUGCUGGAGCACAGACAGUCUUCUCCCAGCCCAUAUCUUCCAUGUGCUUCUAGACUCUCUCAGGAAGUUAGACAACGUUAACUAUCAAUUUAAUCAAGAAGGAAGCCACAGCUCGUCUUGUUAAGUGCUUCUCUGUCCUCUCUGGCCUGUGCACAGAUCCUGAAUGAUAUGAGAGUACUGGCCUCUUCCUUCCAAAAGGCUCAGCAGCUCUACAGCUCUUUGCCUAAAUCUGCAGAUAAUCCAUGAUUGCUGGAAAACUCUAGAUUUCCGUAGCUUGAACAAAGGCUGAACUUUGGACAAAAGUGCCCCCUGGAGGGAGUAUAUCAACUUUCUCUGGCCUGCUGCACACCCUGCUCACUGCCUAAGUAUAAAUCUACUGGCUAAUACCCAUAUCUCGGGAGGUCUGACCCAAUCACCCAACCCAGCUUUCGCAGUGUGUAAAGGGAAAGUGUGCUGGAGCAGUGUUAAUGGAUUUACUUCUGUCAUGGCUGCUUUUGAACACAAAUUGAGCGCUUUAUCUUUUUGACCUUUAUGCAUUGAUGAAAUGUUAACAGUUCAGUUAAAUGGUUUUAAUGUUAGUUCUAUGUUGUUGAUUGUGUCUCUGAAUCUGUUCUAAUCUGUGAUAUUUUCCUGACUUAAAUGAUCAACUCAUUAGAUAUAGUGUACAUACACUCGAACACUCAACAACCACAAUUUCCACACACUGAUCUCAAUUUAUUAUAUGUGUUCUUCUUUUGGGCUUAGCUCCCAUCUGAACAAUGCACCUUAAAUGUGCCUGUUUCCGCUGCUUCAGACCAUGAGCAUGACCACUCAAAGCUCGAGCUUUCAAUCUGCUGACCAUAAGCAGACCAAGCAGCACAGCAGUGAUGGGUUCAAGUUGCUGUGUCUAGUAGUAUGCAGCAUAGCAUCAAUACCAAGUGUGAGCUGGACCAUAAUAUAGUGGUUGUAACAGACAGAAUGACAGACAGACUGUGGAGGAAAAUGCCCAGGCUCCUGAGUCUCCUUGUGGAGGUGGAACUGUCCCAAAUGUGCUAGAACAACCCACAUCACACAUGACGCAUCAAGAUUGCCAAAUGUGAAUAAAUUAUUUAGUGUUUUAGUGUCAGAUUCUGCAUGAAGGAGUUAUUUGCAUCACAGACAUCUCCCUGCAAGUCUCAAUCCAGCCAGAGAGAAAGCAGCAUAAAACCAAUGGCCUUCAGAGGUGAAAGCGGACUGUCUUGCUUAUAUAACGUCUCAGCAGUCUCAAGGUUAAAUGAUGAGUGUGGAACAAUAGUCCGUCCCUGCAACAGGAAGAAAAAGUUGAAGAUAAACUGACACUGGGCUUCCUCCUUUUCUUGAGCUUCUGAUGACUUACAAUUCUCAUGGGCCUGCCUCUGCUGCUUAGAUUUAAAAGGAAAUGUAUUUUUUUUUAUUUCCCUAUAUAUAUUUUUUUCCAUUAACACAACCUGUAUGUAAUCUUAUGAAGUCCAGUCACCUUUUGACUGUCUUUUUGUCCUGCUCUUUUAUAUUGUAAAUUUGUAACCCAUCAUUGUAAGUUUCUCUUCUAGGCAGUGAAGCUCUAUUGCAGCUGCUUGUCAUUGCCACAGAAUUCUUUCUGAUUUAUUUUGGCUAUUGCUUGACACAUCUCUUUCCUGUUUUCAUCAUCACUCAGUCCGUACAGGAUUUUGUGGAUUUCUUUUUUUGUGAUUAUUGCGGCCAAAAAUGCUUGAUUUUGCUGCAGCUUUUUUUCAAAAUUUGUGAUGCAAUUUGCAGAGUUUUUGUGUUUUUUUACAGAAAACUACUUGAAUUUGGCACAAUUGUAAUAUACGAAAUUGUUCUGCACGGCCUUUUGCAGUGAUGUCUGUUGGUAAAUGUGACCUUUUAGCUGUAAUCAUGUUCGACACACGUGAAUGGAAGAGGGCUUUGGCUGAAUACGUGCUGUGAUGACAUCACAUGACUCAUCUUGCCCCAAAUCUGUGGAAAGUCUGCUGUAAUUCUGAAAAAUUGCAAGCUCCUUCGAAUAUUGUGGCGUUUGCUUGAUUUUGCGUUAAUUUCUGUGAUCGCAAUAUCACAAAAUCCCGGGGCGACUGAUUACUUACCUUCACAUCCAAUCACAGAUUCAUCUGUAUGUCAGAUGUACACCCUUAGAAUUUUGGGAGCUAUUAAAGGUUCUAAGUAGAACCUUACAGAGUGUUUCCUAUAUACAUA